AUUAGCUCAGCUGGGAGAGCACCUCCCUUACAAGGAGGGGGUCGGCGGUUCGAACCCGUCAU
rnacentral:tRNA from 1 species